GAUGAAGAACGUAGCGAAACGCGAUAGGUAAUGUGAAUUGCAGAAUUCCGUGAAUCAUCGAGUCUUUGAACGCACAUUGCGCCCCCUGGUAUUCCGGGGGGCAUGCCUGUCCGAGCGUCAUUGCUGCCCUCAAGCACGGCUUGUGUGUUGGGCCUCCGCCCCCCGGCUCCCGGGGGGCGGGCCCGAAAGGCAGCGGCGGCACCGCGUCCGGUCCUCGAGCGUAUGGGGCUUCGUCACCCGCUCCGUAGGCCCGGCCGGCGCCCGCCGGCGACCCCCCUCAAUCUUUCCAGGUUGACCUCGGAUCAGGUAGGGAUACCCGCUGAACUUAAGCAUAUCAAUAAGCGGAGGA
rnacentral:misc_RNA from 1 species